rnacentral:misc_RNA from 1 species
GGUUAUGCGAGGGUAAUAAACUUUUUCAUCAAGCUGGUCCUGUACCCAUAUCAACAUCUUCAAUAGGCUUGAAAGCUUCGGAUCUUUUUCAUGACUUUGGCUGGUAAGAAUUGCCGCAUUUACCUCACUUGCGGUCUUUAAGCGUUGGGAUACAUCUACAAGCUCUCUAACUGGGCAUUCAGAUACUUCUUCGAAAGCUAGCAAUGCAACAGUCUUCUCCAAAUCUUCUAAGAAGCUUUCAUUUUCUUCUCCCCUUGGAGCCAGU